GAUGAACGCUGGCGGCGUGCCUAAUACAUGCAAGUCGAGCGAACAGAUAAGGAGCUUGCUCCUUUGACGUUAGCGGCGGACGGGUGAGUAACACGUGGGUAACCUACCUAUAAGACUGGGAUAACUUCGGGAAACCGGAGCUAAUACCGGAUAAUAUUUCGAACCGCAUGGUUCGAUAGUGAAAGAUGGUUUUGCUAUCACUUAUAGAUGGACCCGCGCCGUAUUAGCUAGUUGGUAAGGUAACGGCUUACCAAGGCGACGAUACGUAGCCGACCUGAGAGGGUGAUCGGCCACACUGGAACUGAGACACGGUCCAGACUCCUACGGGAGGCAGCAGUAGGGAAUCUUCCGCAAUGGGCGAAAGCCUGACGGAGCAACGCCGCGUGAGUGAUGAAGGUCUUCGGAUCGUAAAACUCUGUUAUUAGGGAAGAACAUACGUGUAAGUAACUAUGCACGUCUUGACGGUACCUAAUCAGAAAGCCACGGCUAACUACGUGCCAGCAGCCGCGGUAAUACGUAGGUGGCAAGCGUUAUCCGGAAUUAUUGGGCGUAAAGCGCGCGUAGGCGGUUUUUUAAGUCUGAUGUGAAAGCCCACGGCUCAACCGUGGAGGGUCAUUGGAAACUGGAAAACUUGAGUGCAGAAGAGGAAAGUGGAAUUCCAUGUGUAGCGGUGAAAUGCGCAGAGAUAUGGAGGAACACCAGUGGCGAAGGCGACUUUCUGGUCUGUAACUGACGCUGAUGUGCGAAAGCGUGGGGAUCAAACAGGAUUAGAUACCCUGGUAGUCCACGCCGUAAACGAUGAGUGCUAAGUGUUAGGGGGUUUCCGCCCCUUAGUGCUGCAGCUAACGCAUUAAGCACUCCGCCUGGGGAGUACGACCGCAAGGUUGGAACUCAAAGGAAUUGACGGGGACCCGCACAAGCGGUGGAGCAUGUGGUUUAAUUCGAAGCAACGCGAAGAACCUUACCAAACCUUGACAUCCUUUGACAACUCUAGAGAUAGAGCCUUCCCCUUCGGGGGACAAAGUGACAGGUGGUGCAUGGUUGUCGUCAGCUCGUGUCGUGAGAUGUUGGGUUAAGUCCCGCAACGAGCGCAACCCUUAAGCUUAGUUGCCAUCAUUAAGUUGGGCACUCUAAGUUGACUGCCGGUGACAAACCGGAGGAAGGUGGGGAUGACGUCAAAUCAUCAUGCCCCUUAUGAUUUGGGCUACACACGUGCUACAAUGGACAAUACAAAGGGCAGCGAAACCGCGAGGUCAAGCAAAUCCCAUAAAGUUGUUCUCAGUUCGGAUUGUAGUCUGCAACUCGACUACAUGAAGCUGGAAUCGCUAGUAAUCGUAGAUCAGCAUGCUACGGUGAAUACGUUCCCGGGUCU
rnacentral:rRNA from 1 species